GAACUACUCAGACAAGUACGACUCCUGAGACAAGUACACCAACUACUCAGACAAGUACGACUCCUGAGACAA